UACAGAGGUCCCAAGCGUUGUUCGGAUUCACUGGGCGUAAAGAGCGUGUAGGCGGCCAGGUAGGUCUGCUGUGAAAACUCGAGGCUCAACCUCGAGACGUCGGCGGAAACCAUCUGGCUAGAGUCCGGAAGAGGAGAGUGGAAUUCCUGGUGUAGCGGUGAAAUGCGCAGAUAUCAGGGAGAACACCCGUGGCGAAGGCGGCUCUCUGGGACGGUACUGACGCUGAGACGCGAAAGCGUGGGGAGCGAACAGG
rnacentral:rRNA from 1 species